AGAGUUUGAUCCUGGCUCAGGAUGAACGCUGGCGGCGUGCUUAACACAUGCAAGUCGAACGGAGCUUAGAAGGAAGCUUGCUUUCAUUUAAGCUUAGUGGCGGACGGGUGAGUAACGCGUGAGCAACCUGCCCUCGAGUGGGGAAUAACAUCGAGAAAUCGGUGCUAAUACCGCAUAAUGUCGAGAGACCGCAUGAUCUUUCGACCAAAGGAUUUAUUCGCUUGAGGAUGGGCUCGCGUCCGAUUAGCUAGUUGGUGAGGUAACGGCCCACCAAGGCUUCGAUCGGUAGCCGAACUGAGAGGUUGAUCGGCCACAUUGGGACUGAGACACGGCCCAGACUCCUACGGGAGGCAGCAGUGGGGAAUAUUGGGCAAUGGGCGAAAGCCUGACCCAGCAACGCCGCGUGAAGGAUGAAGGUCUUCGGAUUGUAAACUUCUUUGAUUGGGGAAGAAUAAAUGACCUACCCAAAGAACAAGCCACGGCUAACUACGUGCC
rnacentral:rRNA from 1 species